rnacentral:rRNA from 1 species
GAUGAACGCUGGCGGCGUGCCUAAUACAUGCAAGUCGAGCGAACGGACGAGAAGCUUGCUUCUCUGAUGUUAGCGGCGGACGGGUGAGUAACACGUGGAUAACCUACCUAUAAGACUGGGAUAACUUCGGGAAACCGGAGCUAAUACCGGAUAAUAUUUUGACCCGCAUGGUUCAAAAGUGAAAGACGGUCUUGCUGUCACUUAUAGAUGGAUCCGCGCUGCAUUAGCUAGUUGGUAAGGUAACGGCUUACCAAGGCAACGAUGCAUAGCCGACCUGAGAGGGUGAUCGGACACACUGGAACUGAGACACGGUCCAGACUCCUACGGGAGGCAGCCGUAGGGAAUCAUACGCAAUGGGCGAAAGCCUGACGGAGCAACACCACGUGAGUGAAGAAGGUCUUCGGAUCGUAAAACUCUGUUAUUAGGGAAGAACAUAUGUGUAAGUAACUGUGCACAUCUUGACGGUACCUAAUCAGAAAGCCACGGCUAACUACGUG